GAUGAACGCUGGCGGCGUGCCUAAUACAUGCAAGUCGAGCGAACGGACGAUAAGCUUGCUUCUCUGAUGUUAGCGGCGGACGGGUGAGUAACACGUGGAUAACCUACCUAUAAGACUGGGAUAACUUCGGGAAACCGGAUCUAAUACCGGAUAAUAUUUUGAACCGCAUGGUUCAAAAGUGAAAGACGGUCUUGCUGUCACUUAUAGAUGGAUCCGCGCUGCAUUAGCUAGUUGGUAAGGUAACGGCUUACCAAGGCAACGAUGCAUAGCCGACCUGAGAGGGUGAUCGGCCACACUGGAACUGAGACACGGUCCAGACUCCUACGGGAGGCAGCAGUAGGGAAUCUUCCGCAAUGGGCGAAAGCCUGACGGAGCAACGCCGCGUGAGUGAUGAAGGUCUUCGGAUCGUAAAACUCUGUUAUUAGGGAAGAACAUAUGUGUAAGUAACUGUGCACAUCUUGACGGUACCUAAUCAGAAAGCCACGGCUAACUACGUG
rnacentral:rRNA from 1 species